rnacentral:misc_RNA from 1 species
GAUGAAGAACGCAGCGAAAUGCGAUAAGUAAUGUGAAUUGCAGAAUUCAGUGAAUCAUCGAAUCUUUGAACGCACAUUGCGCCCGCUAGUAUUCUGGCGGGCAUGCCUGUUCGAGCGUCAUUUCACCACUCAAGCCUCGCUUGGUAUUGGGCAACGCGGUCCGCCGCGUGCCUCAAAUCGACCGGCUGGGUCUUCUGUCCCCUAAGCGUUGUGGAAACUAUUCGCUAAAGGGUGUUCGGGAGGCUACGCCGUAAAACAACCCCAUUUCUAAGGUUGACCUCGGAUCAGGUAGGGAUACCCGCUGAACUUAAGCAUAUCAAUAGCGGAGGA